UACGUAGGGCGCAAGCGUUAUCCGGAAUUAUUGGGCGUAAAGAGCUCGUAGGCGGUUUGUCGCGUCUGCCGUGAAAGUCCGGGGCUCAACUCCGGAUCUGCGGUGGGUACGGGCAGACUAGAGUGAUGUAGGGGGAGACUGGAAUUCCAGGUGUAGCGGUGAAAUGCGCAGAUAUCGGGAGGAACACCGGUGGCGAAGGCGGUUCUCUGGGCCUUACCUGACGCUGAGGAGCGAAAGCGUGGGGAGCGAACAGG
rnacentral:rRNA from 1 species